UUUUGGGAGGAAAAAAGAGGUAAGUUUUCCGAUUCCGUGCCGAGAAUUAAUUAUAUCAGAUAUAACAUUAUGUUAUGAAGAUGUUAGUAAUGAAAUUUUAGGGUUUGAGUCAGCCCAAAACGUUACCAAACAGCCCAUAAGUUUCAGCUGCGCUAAAGGAAAUUCCGAGGCAAGGUUUGGCGAGUUUUGGUGAAUUUCGGGAAAGGUUCAAGAGACGACGAGGCGAGCAUAGUUAAGAGUAAUCCGUAAGAGGUACAGAUGAUUGGUUUGCUGAUCCGCUCGCUUAGGACAUCCACCAUGUUGGUCGACAGUGCUCCUUUGUUCGGAGUCCUAUUUUGGUACUGACACCUUCUGUUGUAUAUAUAUAUACGUUGUUCAGGGUACGGCGUGGCCCUGUCCCGUCAUAUGACUAGGAUAUCAUUCUGUAGAGGUCUGUAGACAUGAGAUGUGGGUUUUGUAUAUAUGUUUUGGGUUUUUUCUGUGUUCCGUGAUGGCUUAU